UUCCAGGCGGCACACCCGCUGAAGUCUCCCGCAGCGACUCUAAAGAACUGCGCCAGUCCGCACCCGCGGGCGACACCUUGAUUCUACUGGGACCUCUGCCCUGCAUCGCAGGCGCGGAUACCAGUGGCCUGUGCGUAACAGGUUCACAGAUCAAACAAUGGUGGCCAACUGUUGGUUAAGAUAUGACCGGUCUCCGCUGUAACCAGCCGGAGAAGACACGUUCCGUAGGUGAACCUGCGGAAGGAUCAUUACAGAGUUAGGGUCUUUCAGGCCCGAUCUCCAACCCAAUGUGUAUUUACCUUUGUUGCUUUGGCGGGCCCGCUGGGGAAACCCACCGGUGGCCAUUGGCUGCCGAGCGCCCGUCAGAGACCCAUCAAACUCUGUUAAUCAUGCCGUCUGAGUACCAAUACAAUAGUUAAAACUUUCAACAACGGAUCUCUUGGUUCUG
rnacentral:misc_RNA from 1 species